ensembl:lncRNA
CCUCGAUGGAGAGAAAUCCUCAGAUGUCUUGACUGAAUUUCCCCGCUUCAAAGAUUUCAAAGGCCUGAUUGAGCAAGACUUCGUCCUGCAGUUUGGAGAAGGUGUAGCUGCAAGAUUUAUGGAAAGGUGGCCGACAACAUUCAAGCAAAAGGUCAUUCAUCAGUGUAAGGCUCUCCCUUCUACAAGUGACCUUGAAGAGCUUAUCCAUUGUGCUGAAGCUACACCGGAUGAAGAGGACAUUGAUGACACUCUUGCCCUUGGCUGGGACAGCGAUCUUGCAUCCAUUAUCGUCCUCCUCCACCUGAUACCUCCUUCAGCCCAAGGCCGGAGAAGACCAGGCAAGGUUUCCACAGCCCAAGCUGAGAAACAGCUUGUCGUGUUCAAGAAGAGUGGAACCUGUCUUCAAGAACAUGUUGAUGCAAUCAAAUGCAUCACUCAACCGCAUCUUGUUGCUGUUGGGUUGAAGAGG